rnacentral:rRNA from 1 species
GUGUCAGCCGCCGCGGUAAGACGUAGGAUGCAAGCGUUGUCCGGAAUUAUUGGGCGUAAAGGGUCCGCAGGUGGCAGUUCAAGUCUGCAGUCAAAGGUCGGGGCUCAACCCCGGAAAGGCUGUGGAAACUGAACAGCUAGAGUACGGUAGGGGCAGAGGGAAUUCCCAGUGUAGCGGUGAAAUGCGUAGAGAUUGGGAAGAACACCGGUGGCGAAAGCGCUCUGCUAGGCCGAAACUGACACUGAGGGACGAAAGCUAGGGGAGCGAAAGGGAUUAGAUACCCCUGUAGUCCUAGCUGUAAACGAUGGAGACUAGGUGUGGCCUGUAUCGACCCGGGCCGUGCCGGAGCUAACGCGUUAAGUCUCCCGCCUGGGGAGUACGCACGCAAGUGUGAAACUUAAAGGAAUUGGCGGGG